rnacentral:misc_RNA from 1 species
UCCCGGUUGCUCCGGGCAGUCCCAUGUGAGAAGUCCAACACAUGGCGAGGGUUGCGCUCGUUGCGGGACUUAACCCAACACCUCACGGCACGAGCUGACGACAGCCAUGCAGCAUCUGUGACGCCGCCCCGAAGGGAAGCCGACUUUCAUCGGCGGUCGACGCCAUGUCAAGCCCUGGUAAGGUUCUUCGCGUAGCAUCGAAUUAAACCACAUACUCCACCGCUUGUGCGGGCCCCCGUCAAUUCCUUUGAGUUUCAGUCUUGCGACCGUACUCCCCAGGCGGCGAACUUAACGCGUUGGCUUCGAUACUGCGUGCCAAAUUGCACCCAACAUCCAGUUCGCAUCGUUUAGGGCGUGGACUAC